CAGUUUUCUCUGCUUUCAAAAUCUUUCUGUUUGAACCCGUCGACCUGGAACCUAUCAAUUAUUGGUAAUAUUAAUAAUUUGUGAAACAAAAGGGCCUGGAAUGGAGUAUUUUUUACUUAACAGUAUACAGUUAAAUUCUAAAUACACUGUUUGGUGGUGCGCCUGUCAGAUGCGGAACGUACAGAUAAGGUAAUAGGUAACAGGUGAAUAUACUAUUGGUAUCGGUGUCGGACUCGAUCCGGAACUUCUUAAUUAUUGGCAAUAUUAAUUAAGUGGAAAACAAAUGG
rnacentral:lncRNA from 1 species